rnacentral:rRNA from 1 species
CGUGGGUAACCUACCUAUAAGACUGGGAUAACUCCGGGAAACCGGAGCUAAUACCGGAUAACAUUUGGAACCGCAUGGUUCUAAAGUGAAAGAUGGUUUUGCUAUCACUUAUAGAUGGACCCGCGCCGUAUUAGCUAGUUGGUAAGGUAACGGCUUACCAAGGCAACGAUACGUAGCCGACCUGAGAGGGUGAUCGGCCACACUGGAACUGAGACACGGUCCAGACUCCUACGGGAGGCAGCAGUAGGGAAUCUUCCGCAAUGGGCGAAAGCCUGACGGAGCAACGCCGCGUGAGUGAUGAAGGGUUUCGGCUCGUAAAACUCUGUUAUUAGGGAAGAACAAACGUGUAAGUAACUGUGCACGUCUUGACGGUACCUAAUCAAAAAGCCACGGCUAACUACGUGCCAGCAGCCGCGGUAAUACGUAGGUGGCAAGCGUUAUCCGGAAUUAUUGGGCGUAAAGCGCGCGUAGGCGGUUUCUUAAGUCUGAUGUGAAAGCCCACGGCUCAACCGUGGAGGGUCAUUGGAAACUGGGAAACUUGAGUGCAGAAGAGGAAAGUGGAAUUCCAUGUGUAGCGGUGAAAUGCGCAGAGAUAUGGAGGAACACCAGUGGCGAAGGCGACUUUCUGGUCUGUAACUGACGCUGAUGUGCGAAAGCGUGGGGAUCAAACAGGAUUAGAUACCCUGGUAGUCCACGCCGUAAACGAUGAGUG